CCCCUCGCCUCCGAGCCUAGCCUGGGACCCAAGGCCCCGCCCUCUCCCGGAGCGCUGGCCCCACCCCUCUCGAGUCCCACACCUGUCCGGCCCCACGACUCUGUCUCCGCCCUCUCCUGGGACUAAGCACCGCCCCCUUUGGCCAUGCGACCACGCCCACUGCCGAUGAGCCACGCCCCCGCGGGGCCCGGAAAAGUCCCACUGCGCCCCCUACUGGUCGUUCUACUGAGAUGCGGUCACACGCCCCCCUUCCAAACUUCCGGUCGGCUCCGACCGGCAGAAGCCCAGCCUCCUGGUCCAGACCACGCCCCCCUGCCCUCUGGUUAGCCUGAGUCUGUGGGCUCCCAUAGGGUCUCCCUGCCUGAGGCACCGCCCCUCGACGCGGCCACGCCCCUUCCCCGCCCUUCCCCGAGUCCCGCUGCUGUCGCGGGGUCGAGGUCACUUCUCAGCGGGCUCGGUCCCCUUCUGGUGUCGGCCCUGGCUGGGUUCUUGGGCCGCCGCAUCGUCUCUUCCCGCAUGUCUCUCUCUGCCUCCCGCGCCAUCGUCCCCGUGUUUCUCUGUUGCUCUGCCUCUGGUGUUCCUUUGUCUACCCGUGUGUGUCACUUGGUCCCCACGUCUCGUUGCAUUCCCUUGACUGUGUGCGUGCGUCUGUCUGUCGUCUGUCUGUCCGCAUCUGUCUUUGCGGCAGUCAUUUUCUGUUUUCUGUCUCGUGGCUUUCCCUGUACAGAGAUGUCACUCUUACGUUUCUGUCCCCGCAUCUGGCCUCUGCGUCCCUCGUCCCUCCCGCCCAGCAUCCUUUUUAUACCACAGCUGCCCGCUAGGUGACAGCACAGACCAACCCGCCGGGCCGAGCCCCGCUGGGUGGGGCUGGACCAGUCACGCCUGCCCCUGGCCCCAUGAGUCCCUCCCCAUGUCCCACUUUCUCUCACCAGCGUCCUCUGGGCUCAGUGGCUGGUUGUGACUCGGCCCCUUUGUCUCUCUAGACUCUCCUUCCCUCCCUACCCCUACCUGCCCGCCUCUUCACAGUCCCAGGGCCGCUGAGGGGAGCUGACGAAGCCCAUUUGGCGGGGCGAGGGACGACAGGGACAGGAGGCACAGGAAGGGGAUUCAGCUGCGGGGGUUUUCCUGACAUCCAAAUCCUACCCCAGGGCCAGCCACUUGAAGGUUCCUUGCAAGAGAGCCACCUUGGCUGGAAUAGGGCCCCUUCUCCAGCAUGCCACAUGCCUGGAUCCCCUCCCUCAGGGGGCCCCCCAAGAAGUGGAGGCUGGCUCGGACCUACUUGUUAAGGAUGCUAUUCGUCUGUUUGCUCGCGGCUGAAGGAAGGGUUAAUGUGCCACAGCCCGUGAACAAGUUGCGGGGGUCAGUUCUCUCCUUCAGUAUCGGUGAUCGCCAGGGAGUGAACACAGGCUUGGCACAUUCCACAGCAUGAGGCCGGAGGAUGGAGUUUGAGGCCAGUUUGGACUACCUGAAACCUUGUCACAAACAAGCAAGCCAGCAAAGAGGCAACAUUGCCAUCCUCCACGCGGCCACAGUGAGGACAAAGAGCUCUACCAACAGGGACAGCGACGGGAGGGACAGGAACAGAUCCUGGGGUCUGUUGACAGGUGUCCUCCCCUAAUUCAGUUUCACUUCCCAUGGCCUCCGUUACCCCAUGGUCAGCUUCGGUCCAAAAAUUUCCAUGGAACAUUCCAGAUAUAAAUAAUUCAUAAGUUUAAAAUAACUUAUUUUAAACAAGUUUUUUAACAAUGUCAUACAUGAUGUCGUUAUAUUUAUUCUAUUUUUGUGUGUGUGUGUGAUAGUGUACAGGUGUGUAUGUGUGUGAGUGUGGAAGCCAGAGGACCUCAGAUGUUCCUCAGUCACUACCAACCUUUAAAAAAUAUAUUUUACUUUUAAUUAUGUGUGUGUGUGGCGGGAGGGUAUGGGCACGUGAGUGCAGAUGAUUGUGGAGGCCAGAAGAGGGCGCCAGAUCAUCUGGAGCUGAUCUGGGUAUGUGAGCUGCUGGCACUAGAACUCCAGUAAACACUCUUAACCAUUGAGCCAUCUCCCUAACCCCAACCUUUUGGUUUAUUUUUGAAACAGGGCUUUGUACUGGUCUGGAAUCUUGCCAAACAGGCUGAACUAACUGGCCAGCAAGCCAGCCUGUUUCUACUUCCGAAGCCCUGGGAUUAUGUUCAGUGUUUUGUGUGGGGAUCUAGGGAUUGAACCAUAUUCUCAUGCUUGCAAAAUAAAGUUUAUCGAUUGAGCUGUC